GACGAACGCUGGCGGCGUGCCUAAUACAUGCAAGUCGAACGCACAGUUUAUACCGUUGCUUGCUACACCAUAGACUGUGAGUUGCGUACGGGUGAGUAACGCGUAGGUUACCUGUCUGGUAGCGGGGGAUAACUAUUGGUAAUGAUAGCUAAUACCGCCUAAUAUUUAUUAUUGCAUGAUAAUUUACUGCAAGGUGCAAUUGCACCACUACUAGAUGGACUUGCGUUGUAUUAGUUAGUAGGUGAGGUAACGGCUCAUCUAGGCGGGGAUACAUAGCCGACAGGAGGGGGUGGUCGGCCAGACUGAGACGGUGACACGGCACAGACGGCUUGAGGUGGCAGCAGUAGGGAAACUGCAGCAAUGGGCGGGAAUCUGACCAAGCUACGCCGCGGGAGGAAGGAGGGUUUUCGGGUCGUAGAGCUCUGUUGUAGGAGAAGAACGGGUGUGAGAGUGGGAAGUUCACAGUGUGACGGUAUCGUACCAGGAAGGAACGGCUAACUACGUG
rnacentral:rRNA from 1 species